GUUCAAAACAUUAGAAAAACUAGGUAUAGUAGGAACAUACUUCAACAUUGUGAAAGCUAUAUAUGCUAAACCCAAGAUCAGCAUCAUUCUAAAUGGGGAAAAUUUAAAGCAUUUCCGCUAAAAACUGAAACAAGACAAGGAUGUCCUCUUUCAUCACUUCUAUUCAACAUCAUCCUUGAAACUCUAGCCAGAGCAAUUAGACAAAAGAAAGAAAUUAAAGGGAUACAAAUAGGUUAAGAAGAACUCAAACUAUCACUAUUUGCUGAUGACAUGAUUCUAUAUCUAGAAGAUCCAAAAAAUCCACAGAAAACUUCUGGAAUUAAUAAAUAAAUUCAGCAAAGUGGCAGAAUAUAAUAUAAACACCCAUAAAUCAAAUGCAUUCCUAUACAUCGGCAAUGAAUCUACUGAAAGAGAGAUUAGGAAAACCACUCCAUUCACAAUAUACCUGGGAUUCAAUCUAACAAAAGAGGUGAAUGACCUCUACAAUGAAAACUACAGAAUACUAAAGAAAGAAAUUGAAGAAAACCUCAGAAAGUGGAAAGAUCUCCCAUGCUCCUGGAUAGGCAGAAUUAAAAUUAUUCAAAAUAGCCAUACUACCAAAAGCAUUAUACAGAUUUAAUGCAAUUCCUUUUUAAAUCCCAACAAUAUUCUUCAUAGAAAUAGACAAAGCAAUCGUGAAAUUUAUUUAAAAAAAUAAAAGACCCAGAAGAGUUAAGCAAUCCUUAGCAAGAAAGUGAAGCAGUAGGCAUCACAACACUAAACCUUAAACUAUACUACAGAGUUAUAAACCAAGUUAUAAAUAGUAAUAAAAAUGGCAUGGUACUGGCACCAAAAUAGACUUAUAGACCAAUGGUACAGAAUACAGGAUGCAGAGACUAACCCACAUAAAUACGGUUAUGUCAUACUAGACAAGGUUGUCAAACACAUUCACUGAAGAAAAGAUAGCCUAUUCAACAAAUUGUGUUAGCAAAACUAGAAAUCCAUAUGUAGCAAAGUGAAAUUAAACCUCUAUCUCUUACCCUGAACAAAAAUCAACUCCAAGUGGAUCAAAGACUUAGACACUAGUACAGAGACAGGGCACCUAAUAGAAGAAAAUAUAGGCCCAAAUCUUCACCACGUUGGCCUAGGAUCUGACUUUUUAAAUAAGACUCCUAAAGCACAAGAAGUAAAAUCAGAGCUGAUAUUUAUGUGAUAUUUAUGCACAUUUAAUAAGUGAGAUGGAUUCAAAUUAAAAAAGCUUCUUCUCAGCAAAGGAAACAAUAACAUGGGGAGAGAGUCUACAUUUUGGUAGAAAAUCUUUACCACAUGCACCUCUGAUAAAGCAUUAAUCUCUAGGAUAUAUAAAAAACUCAAAAAACUUAACACCAGAAAAACAAGUGAUCCAAUCAAUAAAUGGGCUUAGGAUCUGAAUAGACACUUCACAGAAGAAAUACAACUGAUCAACAAAUAUAUGAAAAAGUGUUCAACAUCUCUAGCAAUUAGAGAAAUGCAAAUAAAAACUACUCUAAGAUUUCAUAUCACUCCUAUCAGAAUGGAAAUCAUCAAGAAUAAAGGCAACAAUAAAUUUUGGCUAGGAUGUGGUGUAAAAGGUACACUCAUACAUUGCUGGUGGGACUGAAAAGUGGUGCAACCUCUAUGGAAAGCAGUAUGCAGACUCCUCAGAAAACUGGGAAUGGAACCACCAUUUGACCCAGCUAUCCCACCCCUUGGUUUAUACCCAGAGGACUUAAAAUCAGCAUACUAUGGUGAUGCAGCCACAUCAAUGUUUAUAGCAGCUCAAUUCACAAUAGCUAGGCUAUGGAACCAACUUAGGUGUCCCUCAAUAGAUGAAUGGAUAAAGAAAAUGUGGUAUGUAUACUCAAUGGAAUAUUUCUCAGCGUUAAAGACGAGUAAAAUUAUGGAAUUUGCCAGUAAAUGGUGGGAGUUGGAGAAUAUCAUGCUGAACAAAAUAAACUGAUCCCACAAAACCAAAGGCUGAAUGUUUUGUCUAAUAUGCAGAUGCUAAUUCACAAUAAGGCAGCGGGCACUAGGGAAAAAUAGUGUUACCUUAGAAUAGGUAGUGGGAAGUGAUGGGAGGGAAGAGGAAGGGAUAUGGGGAUAGAAAAGAUAGAAGGAUGAAAAAGACAUCAUUGCUGUUUGUAUGUAUAUGACUACAUGAUCAAUAUGACUCUGCAAUAUGUACACUCAGAAAAAUGAAAAGUUAUAUCCAUAUAUGUAUGAUAUAUUAAAGUGCAUAAAUGCAUUCUACUGUCAUGUAUAACUAAUUAAAAUAAAUAAAAAAAAUUAAAAAUUAUAUUGUACUACAUGAAUUUAAGUCAAUUAUAUUUAGAUAUAACAUUAUGUAAAAGGCAAUUUCAAUCUAUGUUUUUCAUUAGGGAUAAGGUUAGAGCUUUAAGAUUAAUAUGGGGAACUAUAAAUAUUAUUAGAAUGCAAUUGUGAAAAUAUGUGUGGAAACAUAAAAUAUUCAAGAUCUAACAGAGGGUAGAGUAAAUUGUGAAUCUUAUGAAUACACCUUUGUAAAUAUGGGGACACAUGAAUGAAUUCUAUAUAUGAUAGAUUGUGAUAUGUAUUCAAAUUUAAUAUUGAAAAUUGAAAAUAGAAAUAAAAAUACACAUUAAAAUUCAUAUUUAUGUGCAUGGAUUUAAAUCAUAUUAGGUUUAAAUGUAGAGGUAUGGAAACUGUAAUAUUAUGUUUUGAAUUUAACUAGAGAUAGGGUUAGAGAAUUAAAGUUAAUAUGAGGAAAGUUUAGGGUUAUAGUUAUUAGAAUGUACUUGUAAAAAUGUGUGAAAAAAAUUAAAAAUAUAUAUUACAUGACAAAAAAGAGUAAAAUAUGAGUCCUAUGAAUAUAUAUUUUGUAAAUAAGGAGUGCAUGAAUGAAUCUUA
rnacentral:lncRNA from 1 species